rnacentral:rRNA from 1 species
UACGGAGGGAGCUAGCGUUGUUCGGAAUUACUGGGCGUAAAGCGCACGUAGGCGGCUUUUUAAGUCAGGGGUGAAAUCCCGGGGCUCAACCCCGGAACUGCCCUUGAAACUGGAGAGCUAGAAUCUUGGAGAGGCGAGUGGAAUUCCGAGUGUAGAGGUGAAAUUCGUAGAUAUUCGGAAGAACACCAGUGGCGAAGGCGACUCGCUGGACAAGUAUUGACGCUGAGGUGCGAAAGCGUGGGGAGCAAAACAGG